UCUUAGUGGCGGACGGGUGAGUAACGCGUGGGGAACCUGCCCUGUACAGGGGGAUAACACUUAGAAAUAGGUGCUAAUACCGCAUAAGCGCACGGUCCCGCAUGGGACAGUGUGAAAAACUCCGGUGGUGCAAGAUGGACCCGCGUCUGAUUAGCUGGUUGGCGGGGUAAAGGCCCACCAAGGCGACGAUCAGUAGCCGGCCUGAGAGGGUGGACGGCCACAUUGGGACUGAGACACGGCCCAAACUCCUACGGGAGGCAGCAG
rnacentral:rRNA from 1 species